rnacentral:rRNA from 1 species
UACGUAGGGGGCAAGCGUUGUCCGGAAUUAUUGGGCGUAAAGCGCGUGUAGGCGGCUCGGUAAGUCUGCUGUGAAAGUCCAGGGCUCAACCCUGGAACGCCGGUGGAUACUGUCGAGCUCGAGUCCGGAAGAGGCGAGUGGAAUUCCUGGUGUAGCGGUGAAAUGCGCAGAUAUCAGGAGGAACACCAAUGGCGAAGGCAGCUCGCUGGGACGGUACUGACGCUGAGGUGCGAAAGCGUGGGGAGCAAACAGG